rnacentral:lncRNA from 1 species
CUUGCUGUUUGUGCGUGGAUGUGUACAUCCAUUUAUGUAGAUGUACAAACUGUAAUAGCCAUGGUAUGUAUGCAGAUGAAAGACAUUAUCUUUCAAUUGGAGCAAAUAUGGUAGCUGCUUCAGGUGUUGGAGCUGCAGCUGUCGUUGCUACAAAUCCGCUUUGGGUUGUGAAGACUAGAUAGCAAGUGUGUUUCUUUUCAGUUCAUGCUAAAUCUUUUGCCUAUGCUAUCAACUUAUCAUAUAAAAUUGGCCUGAUUCAUGAGUGCAUUAAAUGCUUAGAAUAUAUGCAAUAGUGGUUUGUUAAAGUUAAAAACACUUUUAUUGGAUUGCUUAGUUUAUCGUCAAUGUCUUGGACUCUUGGCAGUAGAUACUUCAGAAUUUUAUUUUCUUUAUGAAAUUGGCAUAUACCAUUACUAGAACUAUUUCUCAUCAUCAAUUGAGCUGGCAAUAAAGGCACCAUAAAUUUGACAUUAGUUUGUUGGGGUUCAGUGUAAUAUCCAUACAAUAUGACAAAAACUAUAUCCAUAUUGAAUUGGAAAAAGAAUGAACUCAUAAAACAGCUAGUUUAUAUGCUUUUGCCUUGGGCAGACCAUGUUAUUACUUUAACAGAAGGGAUGUGUGGACAUUGAAGAAACUGUUGUUAGAAGUAUACUUUGUGUAUUGUAUUUACGAUAGAACUACAUUACUUUCUUUACCCUGCCAUUCUUUGGUGCACGUAUGUGCAUAUUUUGCGCAAUAAGUUUGCUUCCUUUGUUUCUUCAGAGUAGGUGUUGUACCCAAUAGGCGCACACUAUCUGUCUUAAAGAGAAUUGCUCAUGAGGAGAGCAUUCAGGGGUUAUACAAGUUGGAAUUGCAUAUAUCAUCAAUUUCAUUUUCUGGUCAAUGUAUAAUGCCUUAUAAUUAAAAAUUUAUUGACAUUUGAGAUAUCCUUUACCAUAAACGAGGCAUUGUACCUGCUCUAACUGAUAUCAAUCAUGUUGCCAUCUAGUUUCCAACAUAUGAAAAAAUAAAAUUUUAUUUGGCAAAUAAAGUUAAUUCAAUGGCUGUUCUAGUUCUUUGCAACCUCUUGAAAGUUUCGGCAGUUGGUUAAUUUAAUCAUUAUUUUGUGUCAGAUAACACAGCAAUGGAUAAGCUUAGAGCACAUGACUUCGCAAUUGCAUCACCAAUUUCCAAAUUUUGUGUGUCCAUAUUGACAUACUCGUGAGUCAUGAGUCAUUUAGCUAAAUGAUUUAGUUUUAUUGAAGAUAUUCAUGUUGCAUAAUCAUGUAUAAUAGUCAUACUUCUAGGUGCCUAGCCUUAUGAAUGAAAUGACCUUGUCAUUCCAAGAAUAAAUUUUUAAUGCUUAAUGCGAAAACUAUAUCCAGCUUCGUUAGACUUAAGAGUUGUCUCAAUUGUUUUCUAAACUUUAACUAUUACUUCAAUAGAUCCUCCUGUAGUCUUGUUCAGCUUUCGUUUGGUCAGUAACAGUAGAUAUGUGGCAAAAUCUGAUCCAUCCAAAUGUGUUAAUCUAGACCAUUGAUUAAUUUAAAGUUAGAUUCUAAUUUUAAUGAAUAUUCAAAUCUUCCUAAUUACAAAUCUUGAUGGUAGUUAAUAGAUUCAUGUCUUUGAUCAAACACAUGAGUCUGCAUGAAAGGUUCAUUAAGAAAAUGGUUAAAGUUUAGAGAAUAAUUGAGAUUAACUCAAAGUUCAUGAUGAUAUUAAUUUUACAAAUGAUCCAAAGUUUGACGGAAUUGAAAAUACCUUUCCCUUUAGAAUAAUAUUGGUUUCACUGCAUAUUGUUAGCUAUAAUAUUUUGCUCGAACGUAUUGAGCUUAAUUGUUAUUAUUAUUUUAAUAAAUUUCCUUUCCUUCAUUGUCAAUAAAGUCAUCAUGCCAUAUACCUAUUGGUUUGAGAAGGAUAAGCGAAUUCCUUAUUCCUCAUUUCUUUUGUUUGAGGAGACAAACAACAAAUGUUUUUGUAUUGUGUAUGCAGGUUGCGCUACCGUAAUCACAUUCACCAGUUUUGAAAUGAUACACCAUUUUCCUAUUUCACUUUUUCCUUCUGACCCACAGCCACAUAUUUGGAUGGAUAGAGCAUGGUGGUUGUCUAUGAUAUGUAGCAGUUGAAUGGUUCCAAAACAUAUGUUAGUAUAGCCGACUAAUGUUUCUUUUGAUUAAAAUCCCAUUCUUUGUCAUUCUUAAUUGUUUGUUUAUGUAAGGUAGAUUUCCACAUCAUUUGAAAUUGAACCUACAUUACAUUGAGUCGUUUUCCCUAG